GUGCUCAUUUCGGCAGCACAUACACUAAAAUUGGAAUGAUACAGAGAGAUUAGCAUGGCCCCUGCAAAAUUAAAAAAAAAUUGCUAAUACUGUAACUUGU
rnacentral:snRNA from 1 species